AGCCGACCCUAAUAAAUUUUUGGGCUAAAAGUUUAGUUGAGUUGAGUUGCUGUAAUAAGAUGAAACCUCGUUGGUGCUCAGUGUAUACUGCUUAAUGGAUAAAAAUGUUUUGCACGUGGAUUCUCAUGAAUUUGUGCACCCAUUGUUUUUAAAUAAUGGCCUUAAUUUAAUGUAACUGCCAUUACAUGAAGGAUUUUAGACGUUUAUUACCUUUUUCCCCUGUUAUGUGACAGGGAAAAGAAAAGGUGUAGGUGACAAACAUUAUGCAAUGGCAAUGGCCAUUCGUAGCAUUAAAUCAAAGGUCUUAAAUAUUUCAGACCUUUAUAAAUUCUUGCAGUGAUUAUACCUAAUUUUGUUCUUUUGUCAUAUUUUUCAUGCUAAACAGUUGACUUUAUUACAGAACUAUUAUGAUUUCAAAUAUUAAACUUGACUUUGCUUGCCAAAAAUUAAAUACUAGCUCACAAGACUAUAUUCAGCUUAUUUUAUUUGAAUGAUGUAACUUAAUCCUUCUAUCUUUACAUUUUUCUAUUUGGCAAAUUGCGUUUAGAAUCAUGGCUCCUUUUGGGGUUGACUGGUGACGUGACUAGGUUAGAUGUUACAUCUUUGGAUUUAUGAUGAACUUAACUUGUAAACAGUGUAUAAAGAUUUAUUAGUUGCUUUUACUUGGUUUUAGUCAAAAUUUUGCAAAUCCAUGCAUUUAAUGCAAUUUUUGAUUCCUAGAGUUAAAAAAUUUUUGAAAAAGAAAUUAUUGUGGCUGCAGCUUCAUGUAUGUGCCAUGGUAAUCUUUAUUCAAUUAUAGUAAUUGACUUUUUUAUAAUUAUAAUACGCAUGCACACGCAUAAAUGAUUUAAUCUUGAAGUCACUUGCAUGCAGAGAUAAAAAGUUUGAUUAGAAUGAAUCACAAUAGUUCUGAAGUCGCUGCUUGUCUCUAGUUAGUGCUAUUUUAAAAGAUCCUGCUUUUGAUAUGUCCAGGCAAAGUUUUAGAAAGGGUGGCAUGACUCAAUUUGAUUUUCAAAGCUCUAUCCAGAUGAAUCAUAAUAAUCGUUAAGUUACUGCUUAUUAUUGAUUGGCCUGCUUUUGGAAGAUCCUUCUGUGGUCCUGAUGUUUAGUUAGAAUUUAGAAAAGACUUUGUUUUUUUUGAAAAGGUCUUUCCCACAAUGGAUGUGAAUGGGGCCAGAGAUGUCUUUGGCUCUAACACUGAUAUAAUGGCAUUAAAAUGAAUGCGUACAAUGAAGAAAGCAAGAGGGUAAGAUGAACCUCCUAUGAGGAUUAAGGAGAUGGAGAGGUUUCUCUUUCUUGUAUUAAUUGUCCCCCAAGUAAGGUGUUUUUGGUAGAAUGGGUUCUCCUCAGAAGAUAAUGGAGAUAGAUGCCUUUUCUUAUGUGUUAAAUGGUUUUAACCGGUCUUCUUUUUAGCUAUCUUGGGUUGUGUGCCAAAUUUAAUUUGAUAAAUUUUAUAAGGGGUUUUGUCGAUGUUAAAUAGCCUCCUUUUAUGGGGAUUGGUGUGUGACAUGUUCUUAUUGCCCAGGUACUGUUAAAGGUCAAAUAGGUAAAUAUGGCAAGCUUUCUUUGGCUUCUGCAAUGCUUCUUCAGAACCGGAAGAAUGAUAAAAGAAAUAGUGUUCGAAUAUUUGGCAGCCGCUAAACUUUUGUUGAUGCAACUUAUUAUAGGUUUUGAAUGUUGCUCUUUAUUUUAUUUUUUUGAAAGAAGGUCAUGAGAUGGAAGCAUCUGGAAGAACUUCUGUACUUUGUGAACUUUUUAAUGUAGGAUGCACAUCAUUUUCCAUUUAACUGUAAAAUAAGGACUGGUGUUGUUUUUGUUCUGACAUCGUAAGUUGUUGAUCUGUAUAAUUACUUGGGGCAAAAUUCCCCUGUAGAUUUUUAAACUUAAAACAAUGUUUUUAUUCUUUGCCUUGCAGUACUGAAAUGUGUUGGUCAAGAACAUUUCCAGAAGAAAAAAUGUCGGUUAUUUGUUUUUGUCACCCCAACUGUAAGAAUUUUUAGAGAAGCAAGAACCUUAUGGAGGGAUUGUCACUGUUGAAAUUCUAGCAUCUACUCCUACAGCAGCAGCAGUUAGGUAAGUCCUUACUGUUAAAAAUAUGUGAUUAUUAUUCAAGUAUGAACUGGUCUUUCAGUUCUAUUUUGUUGCACAUUAGAUUCCUGCUGAUAAUGAAAGGAAGAUUGAUAUUAGAUUGCAGUCUUAUCUCUUGAACAAACUGUCAAUUUGCAAAUGAGAAUGAUGGUUGAGGCUGACACUAUUUAGUUUAAUUUUCUGAUGUGGAGUGUCUUCUAAUAAUAACUCACAACUCUUUUUCAUUAGGUUGUAAAGAAUUUUGGAUGCAUCUCGUAUAAACUCGAUCUUAUAUAAGAAUAAGUUUUAAUUUCAAUCCAUCAAACAUCUCCUCUUGAAGAGUUUAAAGUGUUCGUAUGGUUUUGACUUGAUGUAAUCUCUUCUUCAUUAACAUUAAAACAAAGAUGAGA
rnacentral:misc_RNA from 1 species